CCAUCAGGUUAAGCUGGGGACGUCUAAAGGAACUGCCUACGCAAGUAGUGAGGAAGGCGGGGAUGACGUCAAAUCAGCACGGCCCUUACGUCCAGGGCUACACACGUGCUACAAUGGCCGAUACAGAGGGCAGCUACCUGGUGACAGGAUGCAAAUCUCCAAAGUCGGUCUCAGUUCGGAUCGGAGUCUGCAACCCGACUCCGUGAAGUUGGAUUCGCUAGUAAUCGCGCAUCAGCCAUGGCGCGGUGAAUACGUUCCCGGGCCUU
rnacentral:rRNA from 1 species